rnacentral:rRNA from 1 species
GACGUAGGGCGCGAGCGUUGUCCGGAUUUAUUGGGCGUAAAGAGCUCGUAGGCGGCUUGUCGCGUCGUCCGUGAAAACUUGGGGCUCAACCCCAAGCUUGCGGUCGAUACGGGCAGGCUAGAGUUCGGUAGGGGAGACUGGAAUUCCUGGUGUAGCGGUGAAAUGCGCAGAUAUCAGGAGGAACACCGGUGGCGAAGGCGGCUCUCUGGGACGGUACUGACGCUGAGACGCGAAAGCGUGGGGAGCGAACAGG